rnacentral:rRNA from 1 species
UACGUAGGGGGCAAGCGUUAUCCGGAUUUACUGGGUGUAAAGGGAGCGUAGACGGUAUGGCAAGUCUGAUGUGAAAACCCGGGGCUCAACCCCUGGACUGCAUUGGAAACUGUCGGACUAGAGUGUCGGAGAGGCAAGUGGAAUUCCUAGUGUAGCGGUGAAAUGCGUAGAUAUUAGGAGGAACACCAGUGGUGAAGGCGGCUUGCUGGACGAUGACUGACGUUGAGGCUCGAAAGCGUGGGGAGCAAACAGG